rnacentral:rRNA from 1 species
GUGUCAGCCGCCGCGGUAAUACGUAGGUGGCAAGCGAUACUCGGAAUCACUAGGCGUAAAGCGCAGGUAGGCGGUUGGAUAAGUUUUUUGUGAAAGCUCCCGGCUUAACUGGGAGAGGCCAAGAAAUACUGUCUGACUCGAGUGUGGUAGGGGAAACUGGAAUUCCUGGUGUAGCGGUGAAAUGCGUAGAUAUCAGGAGGAAUACCUAUGGCGAAAGCAAGUUUCUGGGCCAUCACUGACGCUGAGCUGCGAAAGCUAGGGGAGCAAACAGGAUUAGAUACCCCCGUAGUCC